rnacentral:rRNA from 1 species
AAUUUUGGAAAAUGGGGGAAACCCUGAUCCAGACAUCCCGCGUGUACUAUGAAGUCUUUCGGGUUUUAAAGUACUUUUGGCAGAGAAGAAAAGGUAACUCAUAAUACGAGAUACUGCUGACGGUAUCUGCAGAAUAAGCACCGGCUAACUACGUGCUAGCAGCCGCGGUAAUACGUAGGGUGCAAGCGGUAAUCGGAAUUACUGGGCGUAAAACGUGUGUAGGCGGUUCGGAAAGAAAGAUGUGAAAUCCCAGGGCUCAACCUUGGAACUGCUUUUUUAACUGCCGGGCUAGAGUAUGUCAGAGGGGGGUAGAAUUCCACGUGUAGCAGUGAAAUGCGUAGAUAUGUGGAGGAAUACCGAUGGCGAAGGCAGCCCCCUGGGAUAAUACUGACGCUCAGACACGAAAGCGUGGGGAGCAAACAGG